rnacentral:tRNA from 1 species
GCCACAAUAGCUCAGAUGGUAGAGUAACGCAUUCGUAACGCGUAGGUCGCGAGUUCGAUCCUCGCUUGUGGCUCAA